rnacentral:misc_RNA from 1 species
UAUGUUUUCUCAUCUCAUGAAAUAUCCAUCUAAAACUGACCACCUAACUAUUUUUGUGAUCAACAAAUUACCAUGACCACAUUCAUCCUUUCUUAAAAAAUAAAGAAAAAUAUGAUCAUCUGUCCCCCUCUGUGCACAAAGGGGAAUCUCUGUUUGUUAUUCUUACCAUAUUUCAUAGUUACAUACUAUAAUGCUGGUAUGAGUAAUAAAUGUUUAACCUUCACUCUUGGUAAUUUGUAUAUUUUCUUCCCACACUUUUCAAUAACAAUGUCAACUAUCCAUUUCACUAGGAUUCUCCAUGAAAGCAUGUGCAGACAAAAAUCAA